AUUGAACGUUGGUGGCAGGCCUAAAACAUGCAAGUCGAACGGAAACAGUGGAAGCUUGCUUCCAGCUGUCGAGUGGCGUACGGGUGAGUAACGCGUAGGAAUCUACCCAGUAGUGGGGGACAACCCGGGGAAACCCGGGCUAAUACCGCAUACGCUCUGCGGAGGAAAGCGGGGGAUCUUCGGACCUCGCGCUAUUGGAGGAGCCUGCGUCGGAUUAGCUAGUUGGUAGGGUAAAGGCCUACCAAGGCGACGAUCCGUAGCUGGUCUGAGAGGACGAUCAGCCACACUGGAACUGAGACACGGUCCAGACUCCUACGGGAGGCAGCAGUUAGGAAUCUUGGGCAAUGGGCGCAAGCCUGACCCAGCCAUGCCGCGUGUGUGAAGAAGGCCCUCGGGUUGUAAAGCACUUUCAGUGGUGGAGAAAAGCCCGAGGCUAAUACCCUCGGGUCUUGACGUUAGCUACAGAAGAAGCACCGGCUAACUCCGUGCCAGCCGCCGCGGUAAAAC
rnacentral:rRNA from 1 species